rnacentral:rRNA from 1 species
GACGAACGCUGGCGGCGUGCUUAACACAUGCAAGUCGAACGGAAAGGCCCUGCUUUUGUGGGGUGCUCGAGUGGCGAACGGGUGAGUAACACGUGAGUAACCUGCCCUUGACUGUGGGAUAACUUCAGGAAACUGGGGCUAAUACCGGAUAGGAGCUCCUGCUGCAUGGUGGGGGUGGGAAAGUUUCGGGGGUUGGGGAUGGACUCGCGGCUUAUCAGCUUGUUGGUGGGGUAGUGGCUUACCAAGGCUUUGACGGGUAGCCGGCCUGAGAGGGUGACCGGCCACAUUGGGACUGAAAUACGGCCCAGACUCCUACGGGAGGCAGCGGUGGGGAAUAUUGCACAAUGGGCGGAAGCAUGAUGCAGCAACGCCGCGUGCGGGAUGACGGCCUUCGGGUUGUAAACCGCUUUCGCCUGUGACGAAGCGUGAGUGACGGUAAUGGGUAAAGAAGCACCGGCUAACUACGUG